ACAACUUUCAGCAACGGAUCUCUUGGCUCUCGCAUCGAUGAAGAACGCAGCGAAAUGCGAUAAGUAAUGUGAAUUGCAGAAUUCAGUGAAUCAUCGAAUCUUUGAACGCACCUUGCGCUCCUUGGUAUUCCAAGGAGCAUGCCUGUUUGAGUGUCAUGAA
rnacentral:rRNA from 1 species